CAAAGGAGGAGGAGGGUUCAGUGAGGAGUUUUGGGGAAAGCUGAAAUGUCAAAGGCUGAUGAAUUUUACUGGGCAAUAGCACCCGCCAAGACUGAGAGGAGUGAAACAGCACAACCUGGGUGAAGAACUUCAGACCAUUUGGUCUUUCAAGAGCAAAGGGUGACACUGGACAUACUGGAGAAGUAUGAUUAUAAGGCAUGUCAAAGAGUGGGGACAUAAACCAGACAUGGGAGAGAGAAGCUGUCUCCUCUGCAGGAUAAACAGUAUUGCUGCUCUGAAGACAGC
rnacentral:lncRNA from 1 species